AUGCACACGGAGUUCGACAUGGAGGGCGUGUGGCGCGGUAUGGAGGAGUGCUGCUGCCUGGGCCUGGCGCGCUCCAUCGGCGUCAGCAACUUCUCGUCCGCCAAGAUGGAGUGGUUGCUGGCGCUUGCCGUUGUGCCGCCGGCCGUGAACCAGGUGGAGCUCAACGUGGGGUGGAGGCAGGAGAAGGUGCAGGAGGUCUACGUGCGGCACGCCGUCAUCGUGGCCGCCUACUCGCCGCUGGGCGCGUACGGCGCAUCAUGGGGCUCGGAUGCCGUGAUGCACAGCGGCGUCAUGCAUGGCGUCGUUGCGUACAGCCUCUUCGGCAUGGGGGAGGACGUCGCCGCGUAUGGCCUCUUCGGCAUGGGGUGUGGUGCCGGCCUGGUCAAACUCGACUCACGCGCAAUGCGAUGCGGGCACGGCCGGCGUCCACGCUGGCCCUCGUGGUCUUGUCCGAGCCCAUCGCUCCCAGCUGGUACACCGGCACUGACCGGUCCAUGA
rnacentral:rRNA from 1 species